rnacentral:siRNA from 1 species
UCGGCUGAUUGUGCGACUAGA